rnacentral:rRNA from 1 species
ACGAACGCUGGCGGCAGGCUUAACACAUGCAAGUCGAACGCACCGCAAGGUGAGUGGCAGACGGGUGAGUAACGCGUGGGAAUCUACCUAGCUCUUCGGAAUAGCUCCGGGAAACUGGAAUUAAUACCGAGUACGCCCUACGGGGGAAAGAUUUAUCGGAGUUAGAUGAGCCCGCGUUGGAUUAGCUAGUUGGUGGGGUAAUGGCCUACCAAGGCGACGAUCCAUAGCUGGUCUGAGAGGAUGAUCAGCCACACUGGGACUGAGACACGGCCCAGACUCCUACGGGAGGCAGCAGUGGGGAAUAUUGGACAAUGGGCGCAAGCCUGAUCCAGCCAUGCCGCGUGAGUGAUGAAGGCCCUAGGGUUGUAAAGCUCUUUCAGUGGGGAAGAUAAUGACGGUACCCACAGAAGAAGCCCCGGCUAACUUCGU